rnacentral:rRNA from 1 species
CAGCAGCCACGGGAACACCGAGGGUGCAAGCGUUAAUCGGAAUUACUGGGCGUAAAGCGCGCGUAGGUGGUUUGUUAAGUUGGAUGUGAAAUCCCCGGGCUCAACCUGGGAACUGCAUCCAAAACUGGCAAGCUAGAGUAUGGUAGAGGGUGGUGGAAUUUCCUGUGUAGCGGUGAAAUGCGUAGAUAUAGGAAGGAACACCAGUGGCGAAGGCGACCACCUGGACUGAUACUGACACUGAGGUGCGAAAGCGUGGGGAGCAAACAGGAUUAGAUACCCCCGUAGUCCCUGUCUCUUAUAC